UACGUAGGGGCCGAGCGUUGUCCGGAGUUACUGGGCGUAAAGCGCGCGCAGGCGGCUCGUCAAGCCUGACGUGAAAGCCCCCGGCUCAACCGGGGAGGGUCGUCGGGGACUGGCGGGCUUGAGGUCGGCAGGGGCUGGUGGAAUUCCCGGUGUAGUGGUGAAAUGCGUAGAGAUCGGGAGGAACACCCGUGGCGAAGGCGGCCAGCUGGGCCGGACCUGACGCUGAGGCACGAAGGCCAGGGGAGCAAACGGG
rnacentral:rRNA from 1 species